rnacentral:rRNA from 1 species
UCAUGUGUGACAUUCCUAUAAGGUUAAUGAAUUGGAUCCCAUUAGAACUCCACAAUUAAGUGUGCUUGGGCUAAAGUUGUACUGGGAUGGGUGACCUCUCGAUAAGUCCUAGUGCUUUACAUGGC